GAACUAAGAAAUGAUUCAACUGAUGUAUGAACAGAAUAACAAGAUGAUAACAAUUAGAAAUGACAGUAUAUUGCUUUGUGCUGUGUAUUGCAAUAUGCGUUACAAAUGAUCAGACCCCCUUUAUAUAGUAGGGGAGUCCUACUCUUGAUACAAUUCUAUACAAGGUAAAAAUCUCAUGAUUUGCUAAUUAAUCGACCUCUCCUUGAUAAGUGCUAGGAUUUCCGCCGUGAUCUCCAACCGAUCACGGAUAUUUCGGCCUUCUGUUAUUUGUUUCGGCAAAUUUUCCUCAAAUCUUGUUCAGUCCCGAGCUCAAUAAUGUAACUUCGCACCUCGGUUCGAUAUAACUCAAGAUCAAGCUUUAACCUGUCAUGUUUCAGUCUCGAUUGGUCACACAAGAGACGAACCCGGUCGACUCGAGAUCGAGCUUUAAUACAAUAUACAUACAUAGACCCCAUACAUAGACAAAUGCAAUAUGCAUACACCCCUGACUCAAUUCCAUAUAUAUACACACACCCUGAAACAUCAUUUGAUUGCCCUUCUCCGCCCCAGUAUAUUCCUCAAUCCACGGUAUCGCAGAGAAGUUCACAUAGAAAACUGAAAUAAUCUUAAGUGACGUUAAUAGUUGAGAGCUCCACACUAAGCAAUAUAAGCAAGUAGGUACACUGAAGAAGAGCCUGAAGUGUGCGUAUGUAAAUGAUGCUAAAACACAUCCGCUUUUCUUCGUUUCUCUUUUGUACACAGAUAGUUGUAGAAAAACAUACAAAUUUAAACUGAAAGAAAUUAUAAAAGCAUUAUACUACGUUUGUAAUAUGUUGCUAGUUAGAGCUAACUAAAUACCAAAUAAUUGUCAUAUAUAGAAUGUCGCAUAAAUUAAUGCGAUCUCAGUGGACAAAUGGAAGAGAAAAAAGAAGAAACUCGUCUAAUGAAUAGGGGUUUCUUUGUCUUCCUUUUUGUUUUGAAUGUGUGAGUAGGGAAAACUGAAGGGGGUUGUAAGGUACUGAAGAAAGUGAUAGAAAAGACAGAAAUACAGAGAGAUAAUUGGGCAAGACAUAGGUUGUAACUUUCAUGAUUGUCAUUAUGUGUAUGUUUUCGAUGCUUUAUUGGAAUAUGUACAAAUUAAUUGUUGAGAACAUACAUACGCAUACAUACAACACAAAAUAAAACACACACAACAGAUCCACAAAGUGCUCAGCCAUGAGCUUCCCUUCUUGUAGCACGUGAAUGUAUCAGGCCCCCAAAUGGCCCUUGCAACACUCACAACAAACUCCUCAAGAUAACUAAAGAAUCAAAACCCCAAUUUAGAAUAAAUAUGUUUUUACAAAUAUAUAUAUAUAUACACUUAAAUCUUUCUUCAUGACAUUAUUACUUCCAAAUGUAUGUUACUUACCAUUUUAUAUGUUCAGAUGCAAUUUAACUAUAUAUCUUAAUGGGUACGUAGUUAUCAUUUCAAUUAAGCAACAAGAAGAUUGACAAAAGAAACUAUAUAUACAACACGGAGAAAAUCCAAAGAAAAUACGGAAAAGGAAAACAUAAAGCAAAUUAAGAAACCCUAGACAAUCGACGCAUAAAAUGCAAGCUCAAAUAGUACCUGUUGGAAUUAAGAUGUCAAGUUAAGUACCCUUUCCGAUGCUUCACCUUCAAUAUCUUACCCACAAAAAAACAGCUCUUUCUCAACAAAAAAAGAAAGAUAAACAAAACAGAUAUUAGAAUUAGGUAGUUAGAUUACCAUAUAUAUCCGGGAUAUGCUUGGCUCCUCAUACGCCAUUCACGGGGACCCAACGGUAUUCCGAUGAGCUCUGCAAAUGGCAUACAGGGAGCCAGGCAUAUGCAUAUUAUGUGAAUGUAACCUACAUAUAAGAUAGAAAUUACGUUUAAACUUCUUACAUAUAACUGGUAACUUUUAAAACAGCCCGAAUAAUUAUCUAAGUAAAAGAAAGAAAGCAUGGUUGAACUGAAAAAUUAUCUGCCCGUGAUCAUUGUCAACAAGAAUCAAGAAAAUAUGAAGAAAUAUCCAAAGAAUUUUAGCUAAGAAGUAAGAAAAAGGAAAUGGAGAUUUGAGAUUGAAAGAAGAGGCAAGCUAAGAUGGUUUAUAUUUUAAGAGAAAAAAAGAGAGAUUUGGGUGAUCAAACUGAAGUCCUAAUCAACUGGAUCUUUUAGCCCCACCGAAAAAACAUAUUUACACGACCAUAAGACCAAAAGCUAUAGCUGUUUCUUCUACUCUCUUUCUGUUUUCAUACAUUAAUUCAUUCAAGUAGAAGGAUAGACAAAGGUAGGAGUGAUGAAAACAAGCUGUUUAGCACAAAGCAGCAAAAUAAUCAAAACAGAAAAAGAAGGGCUGUGAAGAAAUCAAGAAAGAAGUGUUCUUGUUGUUCUUAAUUUGUAGGGUUGCCCUUUUUCUUUUCUUCGAAAGAGAAAAAGCAAAGAAGUUUUUCUGGGGUUGUUUUUG
rnacentral:lncRNA from 1 species